rnacentral:rRNA from 1 species
GACGAACGCUGGCGGCGUGCUUAACACAUGCAAGUCGAACGGAAAGUCCCGGCUUUGGUGGGGUGCUCUAGUGGCGAACGGGGGAGUAACACUUAAGUAAGCUGCCAUUGACUGUGGGGUAACUUCAUGAAACUUGGGCUAAUACCGGAUAGGAUCUCCUGCUGCAUGGUGGGGGUGGGAAAGAUUCGGCGGUUGGGGGUGGACUCGCGUCUUAUCAGCUUGUUGGUGGGGUAGUGGCUUACCAAGGCUUUGAGGGGUAGCAGGCCUGAGAGGGUGACAGGCCCAACUGCGACUGAGCUGAGGCACAGCCUAGUCUGGGAGGCAGGAGUGCAGAAUAUUGUACAAUGCGCGGAAGCAUGAUGUAGCACAGCAGCGUGCGGGAUGACGGCAUUGGGGUUGUAAUCCACUUUUGCUUGUCACGAAGCGUGAGUGACGGUACUGGGUAAAGAAGCACCGGCUAACUACGUG